ensembl:lncRNA
AUCGACUCCGACAUUGGCUUCAGUUUAUCUAUAAGACACUCCUGGGCAAGACCCCGUCUUACCUUUCCUCCCUUCUCCAUCUCUCUAGAAGCACAAGAUCAUCUGAGCUUAUCAAACUCAUCAACCCACUCACCAGGACUACCUUCGGCCGAAACUCCGGAAGGAAGGAUCACUAGGAGGGGGGAGAAGGGUCCAGCUGCAGGCUUGGGCGUUCCCGUCAUGACACAAAAACGCCCAUCGGGCGUUCCCGUCAUGACACAAAAACGCCCAUCAGGCGUUCCUGUAGCGUUUCAUCGAUCAAUCAAGAAGAGUACCCUGGCACAUGCUUUGUCCAAUGGACCAUGGAAGGGACUUUACUUGGCUGACGAGUACGCAAUGUAUUCUACCCUCAAAAGCAAUAUGAUUUCAGUGAGGGGGACAUGCUCUCUAUCAGGAGGUGGUGGUUGGACAGCUGUUGGAGACCUUUAUGCUUGAAAGCCCUGCAGAACUAGCUGGCUCCUUCUCACCCUCUCCAUCUCCCCAUCUCAGUCACACCUUCCAAUCACUAAGCAGUGAAAGCCCUGCAGGACUAGCUGGCACACCAAGCUCACCCUCUCCAUCUCCCCAUCUCAGCCACACGCUCCAAUCUGGCACAACAGAGGACAGGCCAUUCUUACCACCCGAAGUCCUUCAGCAAAUUGUACAAGAGACGCUGAGACUGGACAUGGCGAUGCUUGGCGUGUUCAACAGGGUUUCAAACACAUUCCGAGAACUAAUCAAGCCUCUCCAUCCUUCCAUAUAUAUAAAUGACAGUUUGACAGGGGACAUUAAGCUUAAUAAAAACAAUCUCAUAUACAUAAUGGUUAGAAAGAUUUACAACAAUGCAGGCUGUGGCAGUGGCCUUGCGCUACGUCUCAAAGGCUUCUCAAAAAAGAAGAAUUGGCCAAGCGCACCCCUGGUACUGAGGAACGUUGCAUAUGGCAGGUUUGUCAUAAAAGAUGUCUGCCUAGCAUAAUGUUCUUUUAUUACUCCUUUUUCAUUUUAUUUGGGACGUCUUUUUUGCAAUCCCUUCCAUUUGUAAAUGUACAUACUACUGUAGUAGAUGUAUCUGCCCAGAAAUGCUGGUAUUUUAUUACAAAUGCUAUACGAUGUAUAACAUACAUUUG